rnacentral:misc_RNA from 1 species
GUUAAUAAAAAUCGGGUGCGUUGCAAUUUUUGUGACGUUUCCGGAGUUUGAGUUAUCUUAAUUAACUUCGGUUUUUAAGAGGCUUAAAAUUGACCUUUUUUUGUGCAUUUUAGACGUACAUAAAUUUUUUUUUAUUCGUCCAUCCUAAUGCCAAAAUCUAUUAGAUGCGACCAUAUCUGGUGGUUCCGUGUCUAUAAAUUUUUCAUG